GAAUCAAAUUCUCCAAAAUCAGACUUCAGAAUGGCCCUGAGACCAAGGAACAUAGGAAAUGAAUGAAAACACAGAAAUAUUGGAAGGCCAAAAAGGCAAGAAGGAUUCAUGCGGAAACUCAAGUGUCUCUGAUAUCAAGAUUAACAAUGAGAUUUGUCCUGCUGCUUCUCAGGCCUGUUGAAAGUGUACUGAAUAAUUUGCUGGCAGUCUCUGAUACAACAUGUGCAAUCAUCUGUAGUUACCUCCUUAGUGAUGCAACUCGGGAAGAGGCUCACUGGCUGUUUGAGAGUAACGAGACGAUAAAUUCAAUACUGAUCUUCUAUCCACGCAAUGACACCUUUGAGGGUCUGCAAGAAAGUUCCAGUCAAAUCCACAUGCAUUAAGGGAACAGAAAUCUGAGAAGCCUGGAAACUGCACAGUACACCUGGAAAGGUGAUGAGAAUGUAACACAGGACAGCAUGGGAGGAGGAAAGAACACCUUCUCUGCACUCACAGCCACUGAAAUACCAAAGUGCCUUUGUAGAGCCUGAUGAUAGAGCAGUUAUUUUGCUGGCACACAAAUGCACAGGUGGAAUAAAUAUUGAAAAUAUGUGGAUUUAUGUUGACUGUGAUUUCACAUUGCAGUGGAGAAAGCAAAAACCCCAGAGUCAAAAGAAGCAUUAGUGAUGUUGCAAACAAAAGAUUAGUCAGCAAAUACUGACUCUGCAUCCGCAGGUGGACUCUGUGUGAGAUAAUCCAGAAUUAGAACAUUGUGAGGAU